UUAAGACACGGGUUCUCGUACGAUCACCGAAGUUAAGUAACGUAGAGUCUUGUUAGUACCUAGAUGGGUGACCGCUUGGAAAUACUAGGUGAUGCAAG